AUACCCUUCAUCUUUUCUAAACUGACUCAUUGCUCCGCCACCCAUAUUUUCCUCAGUGUUCUAGUUGCCUUAUUGCUGACAUCUCAUAACUACAAUCUUUCAUAACCUUCCCAUCUACAUAAACACUGUCUUUUAAGUGGCUGCCUCUAUGAUGAUUCACCGAAACAAAUAAACGUGUGGUCGCAGGUUCGGUGUACUCACGAACUUGAUUUAUAUCUGUUUGGAUAAACUUCUUUAUAAACUAGUUGAGUUUCUCCCAUAAGUUUAAAUCAACUUGUAAACUUAACUUUUAUACAAGCUCUCAUUUUUAACUUUUAAAUAAAUAAAUUGCUGGAGAAGUUUAUCCUAACAUGGUCUUGAGCUAAAAAAAUCUGAUUUGAUUCGUGUACUUGGAUUAAAUCGGGUGGAAAGUAAAUCCGAUCCGACGAAUCUUGGUUAGUGCCUCCAGUCAAAUUAAAAUGAGGGAUGUAUUUUUGAAAAUAAAAUAUGAUAUUAUAACUAUUGAUUCAAGAAAUCAUGGUUUAGAUUCUUCCAGUUUUAUAGUUUGCUAAGUCAUAAUUUAAGUUGUUGAUUUUUAAUCUACUGUCAUAACUUAAUCCUCUGAAGCAUAUUCUUCAUUUCAGAUAAGUCUUGUUCUAACAUUUAAACUAAUUUUUUCAGUGGUUUAAUUGUAAAAAUUUUGAUUUUAUUGAUUGUGUGCAUGGCCAUACCUUUUUUUGGUAUUGAACAAGGGUCCAAAGGCCCAAAAAGAAAGACUAAGCGGCCAUUACACGGGGGAAAACAAUUUCCAUAGAAUCACUAAGAAGCAACUGAGACAACAUCACAGGCUGUUGCUCAAAAAAGCAAAAAUCACCCUCCAUGCUACAAGCAUAAUCAGCAAGCUUGUUGGCCCUUCUAUUUCCUUCUCUGUAGAUGUGAAAGAUGUGGAUAAUCCCAAUGCCAGCAAUCAAAUUCCGAAUUUCUUUCACCAAUCUCCAUCCCAAAGAGCAGGAUAAUGUUGUUUAAACCUUUUUGAUGGACUAACCAUAGCCCCCGAAUACUCCCCAUAACUCGGCCAUAAAAACCGAUCCUCUGCCUAUGCACUUGGAAAAGCCCCACAACCAUUUCCAUCGUGAUCCCUCAACAACCCGCCAAAUCAUGCUAAACCACCCAGGCUCUUUACAGCCCCAUCAGUAUUGAGGCAUAGCCAUCCUUGAUGAGGGGGAUGCCAUUUAAUCUGCACUUGGAUCUUGGACUUAAUCACCACCCGUUGGUGGGUGAUCUAGGUGCACCCAACAUUUUAAGUGAAUAGACGACGACAAAACAACCACCGCAACAAUCACCACCGACCCGUAACACUUUCACCUCGACUCAAGCGACAACUCUCUCAACAAUGAAAAAUCAACACGAACCAACAACUGAGGGAGAAAGCGAAGAAAACAAUGGAGGCGUUAAGAGAAAAAAUAACACUGCAACCAACUUCAAAAGGAAGAAGACACCAGGGACAUUUAGGGAAUUAAAAAAAAUUAUUGGGUGCACAAACAAUAAUGUUGGUGUACCUAGCAUCACCUUGUUGGUGUUUUACUUGUCCCACUCUUCACUGGACCAUGUGGUCGUUGCCUUUUUAGUUUGGAAAAACAGAAAGCACCAAAAUAUGGACCUUUUUUUGGUGUAAUGGGCUUUUAUUUUUAAUUUGGGCUUCAAGUGAGUUUUUCAGUUAUAUGGUUUUGUUUUGUUCUUAAAUGUUUUGAAGGUUUAAAUACUCUUUUAGUACUUGGAAUUUAGUGUU